CUUAUGCAUGCAGUCGAACGGCAAGGACUCCCUUCGGGGGGUCCCUAGAGUGGCGGACGGGUGCGUAACACGUAGGUGACCUGCCCUUGAGAGGGGGACAACCACUGGAAACGGUGGCUAAUACCCCGGACGUCGCGGAGGUUGGAGACUCUGUGACUGAAGCGGUGUCUUCGGAAGAAGGCAGCCGUGCUCGAGGAGGGGCCUGCGGCCCAUCAGCUAGUUGGUAGGGUAACGGCCUACCAAGGCAAGGACGGGUAGGGGGCGUGAGAGCGUGGCCCCCCACACUGGUACUGAAACACGGACCAGAUACCUGCGGGUAGCAGCAGCAAGGGAUAUUGCGCAAUGGAGGAAACUCUGACGCAGCAACGCCGCGUGGAGGACGAAGUCUUUCGGGAUGUAAACUCCUUUUCUGGGGGAAUAGGAAGGAAGGUACCCCAGGAACAAGGCCCGGCUAACUACGUGCCAGCAGCCGCGGUAAAACGUAGGGGCCGAGCGUUAUCCGGAAUUACUGGGCGUAAAGCGCGUGCAGGCGGACGUGCAAGUCGGACGUGAAAGCUCCCGGCCCAACUGGGAGAGGUCGUUCGAGACUGCGCGACUGGAGGGUGGUAGAGGCAAGUGGAAUUCCCGGUGUAGUGGUGAAAUGCGUAGAUAUCGGGAGGAACACCAGAGGCGAAGGCGGCUUGCUGGGCCAACCCUGACGCUAAGACGCGAAAGCCAGGGGAGAGAACGGGAUUAGAAACCCCGGUAUUCCUGGCAGUAAACGAUGUCAACCAGGUGCGUGCGCCGGAGAGGUGUGCGUGCUGCAGCAAACGCAAUGAGUUGACCGCCUGGGGAGUACGGCCGCAAGGCUAAAACUCAAAGGAAUUGACGGGGGCCCGCACAAGCAGCGGAGCGUGUGGUUUAAUUCGAGGCUACGCGAAGAACCUUACCAGGGUUUGACAUGCUGGUGGUAGGGGUGUAAAAGCGCCCUGACCUCUUUGAGGAGCCAGCACAGGUGCUGCAUGGCUGUCGUCAGCUCGUGCCGUGAGGUGUUAGGUUAAGUCCUGUAACGAGCGCAACCCACAUCGUCAGUUACAAGUGUCUGGCGAGACUGCCGGUGAUAAGCCGGAGGAAGGUGUGGAUGACGUCAAGUCAGCAUGGCCUUUAUAUCCUGGGCUACACACACGCUACAAUGGCCGGUACAAUGGGUCGCCAAGCCGCAAGGCGGAGCCAAUCCCCCAAAGCCGGUCUCAGUCCGGAUUGCAGGCUGCAACUCGCCUGCAUGAAGUCGGAGUUGCUAGUAACCGCAGGUCAGCAACACUGCGGUGAAUACGUUCCCGGGCCUUGUACACACCGCCCGUCACGUCAUGGAAGUUGGCAACGCCUGAAGUCGGCAGGCUAACCCGCAAGGGAGGCAGCCGC
rnacentral:rRNA from 1 species